rnacentral:rRNA from 1 species
AACGAACGCUGGCGGCAUGCCUAACACAUGCAAGUCGAACGAGACCUUCGGGUCUAGUGGCGCACGGGUGCGUAACGCGUGGGAACCUGCCCUUAGGUUCGGAAUAACUCCCCGAAAGGGGUGCUAAUACCGGAUAAUGUCUUCGGACCAAAGAUUUAUCGCCUUUGGAUGGGCCCGCGUUGGAUUAGCUAGUUGGUAGGGUAAAAGCCUACCAAGGCGACGAUCCAUAGCUGGUCUGAGAGGAUGAUCAGCCACACUGGGACUGAGACACGGCCCAGACUCCGACGGGAGGCAGAAGUGGGGAAUAGUGGACAAGGGGCGAAAGCCGGAGCCAGCAAUGCCGCGUGAGGGAUGAAGGCCUGAGGGGUGUAAAGCUCUUUUACCCGGGAUGAUAAGGACAGGACCGGGAGAAGAAGCGCCGGCGAACGCCG